UACGUAGGGAGCAAGCGUUGUCCGGAAUCAUUGGGCGUAAAGCGCGCGUAGGCGGCCCUGUAAGUCCGUUGUGAAAGCCCUGGGCUCAACCUGGGAAUUGCAGUGGAUACUGGCGAGCUAGAGUGCGGUAGAGGAUGGUGGAAUUCCCGGUGUAGCGGUGAAAUGCGUAGAGAUCGGGAGGAACACCCGUGGCGAAGGCGGCCAUCUGGACCAGCACUGACGCUGAGGCACGAAAGCGUGGGGAGCAAACAGG
rnacentral:rRNA from 1 species